GCAAAAAAAAAAAAAAACAACAGAAAGUCAGAUCAUAAGAACAUAAUCAUAAAAAUAUGUAUAUUCAAAUUAUUAAGGUCCCACAAGUGCAUAAAAAAAUGUUGGUUUUCACCACAUUAUCUGUUUACACAAAAUAUGAAAGUUCUGAUUUUCAGCUCAGUAUGAGCUAAUGAAAUACCACAGAAUACACAAGAUAAAUUAACUAUACUUAUGCAUCAACUCCCAUUCUUAACUCAAUAUACAAAUGUUGGGAAAAAAAUAUACCUCUAUAUUUAAUCACAUUUUCAUACUUUGAAUACAUAUAUAUUGAAUAAUAUAUACAAAUAUUUGAAGGCUUCAUUCAGCCAUUAUGUACCACAAAAAUAAAUUUUUUUUUUUUUACAACUUAGUCAAGUUCAUCAUCAUCAUAUUGCAAAAAAACAAUCAGUUUAAGCAUAUUGUACAGGAAGGAAGAAAAAAGUA